CAUGCAAGUCGAACGAUGAAGAAAAGAAUUGAAGCUUCGGCAGAAAUUCAUUUCGGAUUAGUGGCAGACGGGUGAGUAACGCGUGAGCAACCUACCUCUUACAAAGGGAUAGCCUCGGGAAACCGGGAUUAAUACCAUAUAACAUUGCGACGAAGCAUUUCGAUGCAAUCAAAGCUACGGCGGUAAGAGAUGGGCUCGCGUCCCAUUAACCAGAUGGUGAGGUAACGGCUCACCAUAGUAACGAUGGGUAACCGGCCUGAGAGGGUGAACGGUCACACUGGAACUGAGACACGGUCCAGACUCCUACGGGAGGCAGCAGUGGGGAAUAUUGCACAAUGGAGGGAACUCUGAUGCAGCGACGCCGCGUGAGUGAUGAAGGAAUUCGUUUCGUAAAACUCUGUUCUAUGGGAAGAAAAGGACUGUACCAUAGGAGAAAGCUCCGGCUAAAUACGUGCCAGCAGCCGCGGUAAUACGUAUGGAGCGAGCGUUGUCCGGAAUUAUUGGGCGUAAAGGGUGCGCAGGCGGCUUUACAGGUUGGAUGUGAAAUAUUGUGGCUCAACCACAAACGUGCAUCCAAAACUGCAAAGCUUGAGUUAAGGAGAGGUAAGUGGAAUUCCUGGUGUAGCGGUGGAAUGCGUAGAUAUCAGGAGGAAUACCGGUGGCGAAGGCGACUUACUGGACUUAAACUGACGCUCAGGCACGAAAGCGUGGGGAGCAAACAGGAUUAGAUACCCUGGUAGUCCACGCCGUAAACGAUGAGUGCUAGGUGUUGGGGG
rnacentral:rRNA from 1 species